GAUGAACGCUGGCGGCGUGCCUAAUACAUGCAAGUCGAGCGGAGCGGCGGACGGGUGCGUAAUGCCUAGGAAUCUGCCUGGUAGGGGGGGAUAACGUCCGGAAACGGGCGCUAAUACCGCAUACUAUCAGAUGAGCCUAGGUUGGAUUGGCUAGUUGGUGGGGUAAGGGCCUACCAAGGCGACGCUCCGUAACUGGUCUGAGAGGAUAAUCAGUCACACUGGAACUGAGACACGGUCCAGACUCCUACGGGAGGCAGCAGUGGGGAAUAUUGGACAAUGGGCGAAAGCCUGAUCCAGCCAUGCCGCGUGUGUGAAGAAGGUCUGCGGAUUGUAAAGCACUUUAAGUUGGGAGGCGUUACCAACAGAAUAAGCACCGGCUAACUUCGUGCCAGCCGCCGCGGUAAUUC
rnacentral:rRNA from 1 species